CCCGGUGAGGGGAGUGAAAUAGAACCUGAAAUUAUGUGCAUACAAGCAGUGGGAGCUCUUCGGAGUGACCGCGUACCUUUUGUAUAAUGGGUCAGCGACUUACUUUCAAUGGCAAGCUUAACCUUUUUAGGGGAGGCGUAGGGAAACCGAGUCUUAACUGGGCGACAUAGUCUUUGGGAGUAGACCCGAAACCGGGCGAUCUAUCCAUGGCCAGAGUGAAGGUCGGGUAAUACCGACUGGAGGCUCGAACACACCUAUGUUGAAAAAUGGGGUGAUGAGCUGUGGAUAGGAGUGAAAGGCUAAUCAAGCUCGGAGAUAGCUGGUUCUCCUCGAAAUCUAUUUAGGUAGAGCCUCAUGUAUCACUGUUGGGGGUAGAGCACUGUUAUGGCUAGGGGGUCAUCCCGACUUACCAAACCAUUGCAAACUCCGAAUACCAACAAGUGUAAUCAUGGGAGACACACGGCGGGUGCUAACGUCCGUCGUGGAAAGGGAAACAACCCAGACCGUCAGCUAAGGUCCCAAAAUCAUUACUAAGUGGGAAACGAUGUGGAAAGGCCCAAACAGCCAGGAGGUUGGCUUAGAAGCAGCCAUCCUUUAAAGAAAGCGUAAUAGCUCACUGGUCGAGUCGGUCCGCGCGGAAGAUUUAACGGGGCUAAGUAAUGUACCGAAGCUACGGAUGUAAAUUUAUUUACAUGGUAGAGGAGCGUUCUGUAAGUCUGUGAAGGUGAACUGUAAAGUUUGCUGGAGAUAUCAGAAGUGCGAAUGCUGACAUAAGUAACGAUAAUGCGGGUGAAAAACCCGCACGCCGAAAACCCAAGGUUUCCUGCGCAACGCUAAUCGGCGCAGGGUUAGUCGGUACCUAAGGCGAGGCCGAAAGGCGUAGUCGAUGGAAAACAGGUUAAUAUUCCUGUACUUUAUAAUACUGCGAUGUGGGGACGGAGAAGGCUAAACUAGCCAGGUGUUGGAUAUCCUGGUUUAAGCGUGUAGGGAGUAUUCUUAGGUAAAUCCGGGAAUACACUAUCCUGAGGCGUGAUGACGAUCACUCUAGGGUGAGAAGUAGUUGAUGCCAUGCUUCCAAGAAAAGCCACUAAGCUUCAGGUAUUAUAGAGCCGUACUCUAAACGGACACACGUGGGUGGGGUGAGAAUCCUAAGGCGCUUGAGAGAACUCUGGUGAAGGAACUAGGCAAAAUGGCACCGUAACUUCGGGAGAAGGUGCGCCCUUGUCGGUGAUUAGACUUGCUCUAUGAGCUAAUAAGGGUCGCAGUGACCUGGUGGCUGCAACUGUUUAUUAAAAACACAGCACUCUGCAAACACGUAAGUGGACGUAUAGGGUGUGACGCCUGCCCGGUGCCGGAAGGUUAAUUGAUGGGGUUAGUCUUCGGACGAAGCUCUUGAUCGAAGCCCCGGUAAACGGCGGCCGUAACUAUAACGGUCCUAAGGUAGCGAAAUUCCUUGUCGGGUAAGUUCCGACCUGCACGAA
rnacentral:rRNA from 1 species